ensembl:misc_RNA Metazoa_SRP Metazoan signal recognition particle RNA
GCUGGGCAUGGUGGUGCAUGCCUGUGGUCCCACCUACUCAGGAGGCUGAGGUGGGAGGAUCGGUUGAGCCCAGGAGGUCGAGGCUGCAGUGAGCUGUGGUUGCGCCACUGCACUCCAGCCUGGGCAAUAGAGCCAGACCCUGUCUCAA